rnacentral:rRNA from 1 species
GUUAAAACUCAAAUGAAUUGACGGGGGCCCGCACAAGCGGUGGAGCAUGUGGUUUAAUUCGAUGCAACGCGAAGAACCUUACCUGGUCUUGACAUCCACAGAACUUUCCAGAGAUGGACUGGUGCCUUCGGGAACUGUGAGACAGGUGCUGCAUGGCUGUCGUCAGCUCGUGUUGUGAAAUGUUGGGUUAAGUCCCGCAACGAGCGCAACCCUUAUCCUUUGUUGCCAGCGGUCC